UGGGGCAUCGUCAAGUGGUAAGACAGCGGUUUUUGGUACCGUCAUUCGGAGGUUCGAAUCCUUCUGUCCCAG
rnacentral:tRNA from 2 species